rnacentral:rRNA from 1 species
GAUGAACGCUAGCUACAGGCUUAACACAUGCAAGUCGAGGGACCGGCGCACGGGUGAGUAACACGUAUCCAACCUGCCCUUUACUCGGGGAUAGCCUUUCGAAAGAAAGAUUAAUACCCGAUAUAAAGGAUGGGGAUGCGUUCCAUUAGGUUGUUGGUGAGGUAACGGCUCACCAAGACUUCGAUGGAUAGGUGUUCUGUGAGGAAGGUGCCCCACAUUUGAACGGGAACACGGUCCAAACUCCAACGGGAGGCAGGAGUGAGGAAUAUUGGUCCAUGGGCGCUAGCCUGAACCCGCCAAGUAGCGUGAAGGAUGAAGGGUUAUGGGUCGUAAACUUCUUUUAUAUAAGAAUAUGUAUUAUAUGAAUAAGGAUCGGCUAACUCCGUGCCAGCAGCCGCGGUAAUAG